UNUGACUUGAGUGCAGAAGGGGAGAGUGGAAUUCCAUGUGUAGCGGUGAAAUGCGUAGAUAUAUGGAGGAACACCAGUGGCGAAAGCGGCUCUCUGGUCUGUCACUGACGCUGAGGCUCGAAAGCGUGGGUAGCGAACAGGAUUAGAUACCCUGGUAGUNCACGCCGUAAACGAUGAGUGCUAGGUGUUAGGCCCUUUCCGGGGCUUAGUGCCGGAGCUAACGCAAUAAGCACUCCGCCUGGGGAGUACGACCGCAAGGUUGAAACUCAAAGGAAUUGACGGGGGCCCGCACAAGCGGUGGAGCAUGUGGUUUAAUUCGAAGCAACGCGAAGAACCAUACCAGGUCUUGACAUCCCGAUGCUAUUCUUAGAGAUAGGAAGUUACUUCGGUACAUCGGAGACAGGUGGUGCAUGGUUGUCGUCAGCUCGUGUCGUGAGAUGUUGGGUUAAGUCCCGCAACGAGCGCAACCCUUAUUGUUAGUUGCCAUCAUUAAGUUGGGCACUCUAGCGAGACUGCCGGUAAUAAACCGGAGGAAGGUGGGGAUGACGUCAAAUCAUCAUGCCCCUUAUGACCUGGGCUACACACGUGCUACAAUGGUCGGUACAACGAGUUGCGAGCCGGUGACGGCAAGCUAAUCUCUGAAAGCCGAUCUCAGUUCGGAUUGGAGGCUGCAACUCGCCUCCAUGAAGUCGGAAUCGCUAGUAAUCGCGGAUCAGCACGCCGCGGUGAAUACGUUCCCGGGCCUUGUACACACCGCCCGUCACACCACGAGAGUUUGUAACACCCGAAGUCGGUGAGGUAACCUUUUAGGGGCCAGCCGC
rnacentral:rRNA from 1 species